rnacentral:rRNA from 1 species
CGUGUAGGCGGAUUUGCAAGUCAGAUGUGAAAUCCGGUGCUUAACCACCGGCGUGCAUCUGAUACUGCUGAUCUUGAGUACGGAAGAGGAGAGUGGAAUUCCAGGUGUAGCGGUGACAUGCGUAGAUAUCUGGAAGAACACCGGUGGCGAAGGCGGCUCUCUGGUCCGAUACUGACGCUGAGGCGCGAAAGCUAGGGGAGCAAACAGGAUUAGAUACCCUGGUAGUCC